rnacentral:rRNA from 1 species
UACGGGGGGGGCAAGCGUUGUUCGGAAUUACUGGGCGUAAAGGGCGCGUAGGCGGUUCGUACAGUCAGACGUGAAAUUCCUGGGCUCAACCUGGGGGCUGCGUUUGAUACGUGCGGACUUGAGUGCGGAAGAGGGUCGUGGAAUUCCCAGUGUAGAGGUGAAAUUCGUAGAUAUUGGGAAGAACACCGGUGGCGAAGGCGGCGACCUGGUCCGAUACUGACGCCGAGGCGCGAAAGCGUGGGGAGCAAACAGG